UGGUAGUCCUAGCCGUAAACGUUGGGUGCUAGGUGUGGGCGGAUAUCGACCCCGUCCGUGCCGAAGCUAACGCAUUAAGCACCCCGCCUGGGGAGUACGGCCGCAAGGCUAAAACUCAAAGGAAUUGACGGGGGCCCGCACAAGCGGCGGAGCAUGCGGCUUAAUUCGAUGCAACGCGAAGAACCUUACCUGGGCUUGACAUGCAGGGCAAAGCCGGUGAAAGCCGGCGCUCUACGGAGCCUGCACAGGUGGUGCAUGGCUGUCGUCAGCUCGUGCCGUGAGGUGUUGCCUUAAGUGGCGCAACGAGCGCAACCCUUGUCCCUAGUUGCCAGCGGGUCAUGCCGGGAACUCUAGGGAGACUGCCGGUGCCAAACCGGAGGAAGGUGGGGAUGACGUCAAGUCAUCAUGCCCCUUAUGUCCAGGGCUGCACGCAUGCUACAAUGCGCGGUACAAAGGGCUGCAAACCCGCAAGGGGGAGCGAAUCCCAAAAAGCCGCGCUCAGUUCGGAUCGGGGUCUGCAACCCGACCCCGUGAAGUCGGAGUCGCUAGUAAUCGA
rnacentral:rRNA from 1 species